GCUAUGAAUAACAGCUGGCGCGGGGUUUCACACACUUAUGUUGAAAUAUUAUAUUGUAUCCGCGUGCAGCAACAAUUAACGCACAAUUCAUCAUAAGUAGAGUUUCUGACAUGCCAAGUUUAUUAUUAUUUGUUUACAUAGUGUCCCAUGUGUUAACGGAGCAGUUAGUACAUGUACCAUCGCUACAUUCCCCCAAAAUAAAAUCGUUCGACAACACAUGAAUGAACACUGUAUUAAUAUGUUAAAAAAAAUGGAUUAUUUACUGUUAAUUCGGAAAUAAUAUUUACAUUCUAUUGUAGCAAUGAUAAGUAUGUUUAGUGUGUGUGGUGUAUUUAAACGACACGGA
rnacentral:lncRNA from 1 species